GACGAACGCUGGCGGCGUGCUUAACACAUGCAAGUCGAACGAUGAACCCGGAGCUUGCUCCGGUGGAUUAGUGGCGAACGGGUGAGUAACACGUGAGUAACCUGCCCUUGACUCUGGGAUAACUGCGGGAAACUGUAGCUAAUACCGGAUACGACCCUCGGCGGCAUCGCCAGGGGGUGGAAAGAAUUUCGGUCAAGGAUGGACUCGCGGCCGAUCAGCUAGUUGGGGAGGUAACGGCUCACAAAGGCGACGACGGGUAGCCGGCCUGAGAGGGGGGCCGGCCGGACUGGGACUGAGAAACGGCCCAGACUCCUACGGGAGGCAGCAGUGGGGAAUAGUGCACAGUGGGCGCAAGCAUGAUGCAGCAACGCCGCGUGAGGGAUGACGGCCUUCGGGUUGUAAACCUCUUUUAGUAGGGAAGAAGCGAAAGUGACGGUACCUGCAGAAAAAGCACCGGCUAACUACGUGCCAGCCGCCGCCGUAA
rnacentral:rRNA from 1 species